AGAGAAUUUAUGCUCAUAUUUGUACCACAGAGGCUCAAGAAUUAGGAACAGAUGUUGACUUUGGCUUGCCUUCCUGCACUGUGCCUGGAGCCCCAUCUUUUCUAUUUCUAAGCGAGAAUCCAGCAGCAGUUAUCGAGGAUUAUCAUUUCUAAAAGGAGUGUGCAGGAGGAGGAAAAAUGAACAUCAGUCAGCUACUGAGGCUGUGGGUAACCCAAAGGAUACUUCUUUCAGAAAGUAGAAGCGAAGGAGAGUAAUUAAUGAAAAUCUCCAAAUGAUGAAAGAAUGAAGCUAACAAGAGUCUGAAUACUACGUGUCUGGGGAGGAACCACAAGCUGUUUUGAACUUCUUCAAAGAGCUAAGACAAAAAGGAACAAAGCUGUAAAGAACGAGAUCAUCUGGACUGGGUAAACAUGAAGUUUUACCUGCUGUUAUCUCCCAGCUGAUGAAGUGGAACUAACUGGUAGUAUGUGCUUUUAAGAAAGGUUUUCUAUGAAAUAGUGGUGCUUUGCUUUGCAUCAGACCUGGCUGGUGGCUGAAUAGCAAUUGACACUGAAAGAAUAGACCUGGAAGGGCUGAACUGGCAUUAGAUCUUUUGAGAUGACCAGUGUAAAUCCCAGGGUGGCUACGACUGAAAAAUGCUGUGAAGUAGCAAAGUGGAUCAUAGGGCUCCAUCCCUCUUCUUCUCCCCAGCUCUAGGAAGGAAGAUGGCUAGAACUUGUGAAAUGAGUGGGAUGCUUUGCUCAGGCCGUUGAGGUGUGCAUAAAAAGACAUGUUUUGUCACCCUCCGCUUAUUUUAAAUAUUGAGUACAUGUGGUACAAAAUGACAAAGAUCUGCUCAAGUGUAAUGGUACCAUAAAAACUACUUAUGAUAAAAAACCCAACUGCCUAUUUUCAUUUCACCUUUC